rnacentral:rRNA from 1 species
GCUACAGGCUUAACACAUGCAAGUCGAGGGGCAGCAUGGUCUUAGCUUGCUAAGGCCGAUGGCGACCGGCGCACUGGUGAGUAACGCGUAUCCAACCUGCCUUACACUCUUGGACAGCCUUCUGAAAGGGAGAUUAAUACAAGAUGUUAUCAUGAGUAAGCAUUUUCGCAUGAUUAAAGGUUUACCGGUGUAAGAUGGGGAUGCGUUCCAUUAGAUAGUAGGCGGGGUAACGGCCCACCUAGUCUUCGAUGGAUAGGGGUUCUGAGAGGAAGGUCCCCCACAUUGGAACUGAGACACGGUCCAAACUCCUACGGGAGGCAGCAGUGAGGAAUAUUGGUCAAUGGACGAGAGUCUGAACCAGCCAAGUAGCGUGAAGGAUGAAGGUUCUAUGGAUUGUAAACUUCUUUUAUACGGGAAUAAACGAAUCCACGCGUGGAUUUUUGCAUGUACCGUAUGAAUAAGGAUCGGCUAACUCCGUGCCAGCAGCCGCGGUAAUACGGAGGAUCCGAGCGUUAUCCGGAUUUAUUGGGUUUAAAGGGAGCGUAGAUGGGUUGUUAAGUCAGUUGUGAAAGUUUGCGGCUCAACCGUAAAAUUGCAAUUGAUACUGGCAGUCUUGAGUACAGUUGAGGUAGGCGGAAUUCGUGGUGUAGCGGUGAAAUGCUUAGAUAUCACGAAGAACUCCGAUUGCGAAGGCAGCUUACUAACCUGUAACUGACAUUGAUGCUCGAAAGUGUGGGUAUCAAACAGGAUUAGAUACCCUGGUAGUCCACACGGUAAACGAUGAAUACUCGCUGUAGGCGAUAUACAGUCUGCGGCCAAGCGAAAGCAUUAAGUAUUCCACCUGGGGAGUACGCCGGCAACGGUGAAACUCAAAGGAAUUGGCGGGGGCCCGCACAAGCGGAGGAACAUGUGGUUUAAUUCGAUGAUACGCGAGGAACCUUACCCGGGCUUAAAUUGCAACCGAAUAUGGCGGAAACGCUAUAGCUAGCAAUAGCGGUUGUGAAGGUGCUGCAUGGUUGUCGUCAGCUCGUGCCGUGAGGUGUCGGCUUAAGUGCCAUAACGAGCGCAACCCUUGCCGAUAGUUACUAACAGGUCAUGCUGAGGACUCUGUCGGGACUGCCAUCGUAAGAUGUGAGGAAGGUGGGGAUGACGUCAAAUCAGCACGGCCCUUACGUCCGGGGCUACACACGUGUUACAAUGGGGGGUACAGAGGGCUGCUACCACGCAAGUGGAUGCCAAUCCCAAAAACCUCUCUCAGUUCGGAUUGAAGUCUGCAACCCGACUUCAUGAAGCUGGAUUCGCUAGUAAUCGCGCAUCAGCCACGGCGCGGUGAAUACGUUCCCGGGCCUUGUACACACCGCCCGUCAAGCCAUGGGAGCCGGGGGUACCUGAAGUGCGUAACCGCAAGGAGCGCCCUAGGGUAAAACCGGUGACUGGGGCUAAGUCAUAAC